CUUGUGGUGAGCGAGCGAGGGAGUCCGUGAGUGCGAGGGACGCUGCGAGGCUCGCGAGCGUGACGCGGGCGACAGACGCGAGGGUGCGACGAGGUCGCGCGUGGUCGUGGGGCCGUGCGACGAAUCUGGUUCGAGCGUAGCUGUGCGACGAAGUUGUUGCGCCGUUGCCGGAAAUCGGUCGCCGGAAUUUGAUUUCCGGCGAGCUUAACGGUCCCAAUUUCAUAAGCGGAACGUUCGAUUAAGACAGCGAAAAUUCUCCGUUACAAGACUAGGUGUGCUGGUGCUGCUGCAUAAUCUCGAGCAUACGGGGACUAGGCUUGGGUAUUUACAUUUAAAGCAUUUUGAAAUAAGUAUUAUGUUUUUUUCUAAGACUUAUAUAUGGUUUGUGGUUUGAAUGAAAGGGGUCAUUGAUGAUUCCCGAGUUGUAUUUAUAUUUUAAUUCCGCUGCAUUUUAGUUUUCAAGUUAAUGUUUUAAGUUAUCG